rnacentral:rRNA from 1 species
UACGGAGGGUGCGAGCGUUGUCCGGAAUCACUGGGCGUAAAGGGCGCGUAGGCGGUCUGAUAAGUAGGGGGUGAAAUCCUGCGGCUUAACCGCAGGGCUGCCUUCUAAACUGUCAGGCUCGAGCACAGUAGAGGCAGGUGGAAUUCCCGGUGUAGCGGUGGAAUGCGUAGAGAUCGGGAAGAACAUCAGUGGCGAAGGCGGCCUGCUGGGCUGUUGCUGACGCUGAGGCGCGACAGCGUGGGGAGCAACCAGG